GCGCUGGCAACGGAGAGAAAACUGUGGACUCGCGGAACAAUUUUCUGGCGGCUUCGUGGACCACGGGUCCAUGUUUUCGUGUGAGUAGGACAUCUGCGUGUGGCUUCCGGAUCUUACCGAUUGGAAAUUCAGGCUGUCACAUAGCUCCGGAGGCAAAAUCGAGUCUCGGGGACGCUUUGGGCUCCGAUUGGAGCGGCGCGUACACGGGCGGCGGAAGCUGUAAGCGACGGCGUGGUGGGAGCAGAGCACAUUUUCGCCGACGACCUCAGGCAAGUCAAUGGAAUUUCCGCUGGAUCCAGCAGUGUGGCUAUCCACGAAGAAGCAGCAUAGGCCGCAGCGACUGGUACUGUCGCCGGGAAGGAGGCGAGUGCAGCCAUGUGUGAUCGGUGGAGCCGGAGCAAUCUGUGAUUGGCAUCGCGCAAGCUGUAGCCGGAGGUGUUCUCCGUGGAGGACAAAAAGGGUCCGUGUCGGCCAGGCGCCACCAGACAGGACACUGGGCGCGUCUAGGAAGGGUGCCCUUGAAAAAUAGAUACAUGGAUAUGCAGAAAAGCUAGGGGAUGAGGUCAUCGAUCACUGCCGGGGAAGUGGGAACAAUAUUCAAUCACUCGCUGAAGCUUACGAUUUCUACAACUUGUACUCGUGGGAGCAUGGUUUCAGAAUUCGAUAGGGGAGCAUGGUUCAGAAGACGAAAUGCACACAGGAAAUUGCGUGUGCAUGCUCGGCAAACCAUCAUCGGAGAACACUAAAUUAUGCCGUUGUGAGUGCCCCGCUACGAUCUGGUUGGUUAGGACACUGGACAAUGGAUGGUACGUAACCGAGCACAGAGUGAAACGUAACCACACGAUGACUGAAAAUUGUGGAGAAAAGGUCUUAUGUCCUUCACACAAGUACAUAUAUGUGUACACAAGAAUCUAGUCCGUCAGCUAAGGGAAAACAACAUAAAUACAGGAAAAGACUACAGCAUAAUUGCAGCAUUUUUUGGAAAUGAAAGGAAUGUGACAUUCGCAAAACGGUCACUUAGGAACCUGUGUGGAAAACUAAGUAAGGAGCAGCCAGCCGAUGAUGUCAAAAAACCAUUGAAGCAUUUGAUGAACUAGGAGCUAAGGAACCAGAAUUCAUGUUUAGAGUGCAAGCAGACGUGGCAGGGUGAAUCAAGAGUCUGAUGUGGACCACAUGAGCAAGCAUAAUGCGGUACAAGUUUUUUGGGGAUGCUAUAAUCUUCGACCCGACAUACAAGACCAACUUGUAUGACAUGCCGUUUGGCUUGUUUGUGGGGGUAAAUAACCACUUCUAGAGCAUUAUUUUGGCCGGUGUCAUCUGUCAUGGCCCGGGACGAGCAGGUGGAGAGCUUUGAAUGGGUUUUCUUGUAGUUUAUCAGAAUGCUGGGAGUAGUAGAAACAAUACUAACUGGUAAGUUGAUGCCAGAAAACCAAAAAUAUGAGUUAUGCUGAACAUGACUGACACAUGUGUGCAAUGCAGAUCAAUGCCUAGCCAUGGAAUACGCAAUUAGGAAAGUUAUGCCAGACGUGGCACAUCGUUGGUGCAAGUGGCAUGUCCUAAAGAAGGCAAAGAAAUGUCUGGGUUCACUAUAUACAAGGAAGAACUAAUUCCGUUCAGAGUUCCAUAACUUGGUGAACACCAUCCUAACCACGAAUGAGUUUGAGUCAUGUUGGGGGAUUUUCUUGAGAAGUACAGCUUGCAAUCACAUCCAUAUAUGACUCAGCUUAUGAGAUUAGAGAAAAAUGGGCAGAACCUUACUUCAAAGGAGUGUUUUAUGCAAAGAUGACAGGCACACAGAGAAGUGAGAGUGCAACCAGUUUGUUGAAGACAUAUAUCCCAAUGAGUUAUCCAAUGCACAUGUUUCUCAAGCAGUAUAUGAGCAUAUGCAGUUCGCCCGGGACGCUGCCAGAGAGUUACAAAGAGAAACGGAUAAAGCUGGUAAGUGAUAAAACUUGUUAAUUGCAACACAAUCUAGACAUUGAGAGGCAUGCCAGCAAGAAUUAUACACAGGCGAUGUUUGAGCAGUUUGGACAAAUGUUAUACAAGGGAUUUGCAUACCGAUUCGAAGAGAUCCAGAAGGACAGGGUAUACAUGGAAGGCACACAAAAUGCUCUACGUCAUGAAAAAUGGAGCAGAGUUGAAUUUGGAUGUCUGGAUCUUGGAAGAUCCCUAGAUGGCUUGGCUCUCGUGGUGCUCGCUUUUUAAUGAGACAAGGCGUGUGGGUCUGGGACAGCCCGGCUAUUUUCCUCAACGAAAUUGCUUCACUUACCACUUUUCCGUCCCAAAAAGGUGUAUGCCACUUCCAUCAUCCAAGCGGCAUCAGCGGCCAUGGUUGCAUGUUCCAAUAGUGCCAGCGACUAAGUGCAGCGGCUGGCGACCAAGCGGCAGUAGGGAGGACGCCAUGGUUGGAUGUUGCAGCAGCGACGACGGCGACCAUGCAGCUGAGAACAUUAUGGCUGCAAUAGAGACGCCGGCGACCAAGUGGCAGCAGCGGAGGACGCCAUGGUUUUAGCAGCAGCUCCGGCGACCAACUUGCUGCUGCUGCAGAAUAUGCCAUGGUUGCAACAUCGGCACCGACAACAGCGGAUGGCGACCAAGACGAGAAUGACCAAAGAAAUGAGGUGGCUGAGAACAAGAAGUCCUCGAAACAGGCUUUGCUGAGAGCCUGAGAACCAGGAGCCUAGACCGCAGAUACGGCCGUUGAGACUUGAGAUGCAACCGGAAGUGAGCACAACGGAGAAGAUAAAUUGAGAAGGCAGAGAAGCACUGCCCUCCGAGCGUCGUUGGGCCUCACAACAAGCAGUGCAGGUCGUUGAGCUUUGGUCCACGUCGUUGGCCCCCAUCUGUACCGGCAUGACGGGAACAGUUGGAUCGUAUUCAAUGUGUUGGUUGGUGGACCAGUGAGCACUGUUUAAUAAUCAGGAGAAUAAGACCAAUACAGCACAAUAUACGCACAUGGACUUCCAGCUGGAGGCAGCCGGUUGGUCCAGAAAACGGGAGUAUCUGGACCUGGGAGCCGAAUUGCAUUUCCGGUGUUAAUUUGUGAUAUGAAAUAUAUUUCUUUAAAAUUUCCUACUAUUUCUCUAAUUGUACUGUGUUAGGAUUCUGAAUUGACAACAUAUUGUCUUAGGAUUUUGCAAUGUUUAAUAUGUU